rnacentral:rRNA from 1 species
AUGGCCAUGCCGUCCACCGCGUCUUGCUGCUUCGCCUCCUCCUCCCCCCAUGUCCGGCCCCGUCCCCUCCGACUCCGCCUCCUCCUGACCCACACCACCAUCACCUCGAGCCCCGCGCGCAUCCGCCUCGUCUCCCGGAACCCCCUCCGGCGCUCCUUCUCGUCCUCCGAGCCGGCGCCCGGUGUCGCCGGCGACGAGGGGGGAUAUGUGGACAGGGAGGUAGAGGAGGACCGGGACGAGCGGUACGGGUUCGAGAUGGAGGUGCGGAAGCUGCCGGGGAAGAAGAACCGCCGGCUGGUGCGCGCGCGGGUGCGGGUCGGCGCGCCGCUCCAGGCCGUCUGGGCCACGCUCACCGACUACGAGGGCCUCGCCGGAUUCAUCCCCGGCCUCUCCGAGUGCCGCCUCCUCCACCAGGACAAAGCCUUCGCCCGCCUCUACCAGGUCGGGGAGCAGGAUCUGGCGCUGGGGUUCAAGUUCAACGCCAAGGGCACCAUCGACUGCUACGAGGGAGAGAUGGAGCUGCUCCCGGAGUCCCGGGCGCGCCGCCGGGAGAUCGACUUCAACAUGGUCGACGGCGAUUUCAAGGUCUUCCAGGGCAAGUGGUCUGUCCAGGAGGUCGAUGAUGCUACUGAAGGUGGGGAAAUUUCAUCAGGGCAGGAAUUUCAGACCACGCUUUCUUAUGUGGUGGAGCUAGAGCCUAAGCUCUGGGUUCCAGUUCGGCUACUGGAAGGGAGGAUCUGCAAGGAGAUCAAAACCAACCUUAUUUGUAUCCGAGAAGAAGCAGAGAAGGUCCAAAGGUUACUGGACGAGAGGUAUGUUCAGCCCGACUUCAGUUAUGUUGUUCGAUCCUUGUGA